CCUCCGCUGCCCGUUUGUGUUAUUUAAUCAACACACAAUUACCAAAACAUGAAAACAUCAGUCAAAAAGGAACUGAAUCGACUGUUUGCUUGUGCGAAAUAUUCUCAAUAACAUAAACUAAAAAAAACAAGACAUAGCACUCACAAAUUAAUCAAUCCCAAAUAACAAGAAAACAGUAAAGCAAACAUGAUAUGGUCCAUGGAUGUAUAAAGCAAAUCUUCACAAAUAAUUAAACACUAACAUUAAGGAGAAAGAACAGAUGAACCUCAAUGCUCUCUAACGAUUUAUGUUUGGAAAUACAAGUAAAAACCGGUGACCGGAGACCUCAACGGAAACCUCGACGCACCUCAUCGGAAGAAAAUUUUCUAAUGCUUGCCGCUGACCAGAAAUGUAAGCCGCGAUCGGAACCCGGAAUCGAAACUCGGCGGACGGAACCUUGAAUUCGCUCUAAUUUAGCUAAAAUGUGUGUUGAUAUUCCAACGAUAAUUGACAGAGUUCAAUCUUACAGAGAAACUAGAGAUGAUUUUCGAUCUCUUACUAUUGCUACCACUUGAUUGAUUGUAAAACUUCCACUCUACCCAAGCUCAUCCUUUGAAUUUCCAGUAGCUAAAAGGGAAAAAUGCCUACCUUAGCAUCAAGGAGAAGGCAGAAGAAGGUCGUUGGUUAGGUUUCGUGUGUGUGUGUUUUGUGUUUAAUAGCUGUUUCUUUAUUUUGUGAAGAAGAUGAUGACAGGCGAGGGGUCGUGUGAAGGAGACGAAAAUCUAGGGGUUUGUCUAUUGCGGAGCUGCUGAUGAUCUCUCUUAGGCAUCAUUUCUUAGGGUCUAAUUUAGGUCUCUCCUUUUUUUUGUAAUUUUUUGGCUGAUUUCUCUCAAGUGUCUUUCGGUUGACCCCUUGUGUAUUAGGGGUCUAGGUUAUAACUUGUGUGUGUUCUCUUUUUGCUCUUAGUUCCUUAGGGUCUUUUUUUAUUCCCAAGAAGAGUCUAGAAGGGUCCCUAGGGUUAGCUUAGACCAAAAUUGGGCUCUAAAACUCCUAAAAUUGUGAUCCAAUACCUUAAUUGACUCCUUUUAAAAUAAGAUAAAAAUAUUACACAAUGCAAAAGUUAAUCCUAAUUAAUUAAACUAAACUAUAUUAAAACAUGNNNNNNNNNNNNNNNNNNNNNNNNNCAAAAGAAGUCAAAAUUGGUUGAAAUAGCUAUAUUAGACCCAACUAAAUAUUUUACGCUAAAAUGGGUGAAAUUUCAAGGAGGGUCAAAAAUUACAUGUCUACAGCUGCCCUUCUUUGACUGAAAUACAAAGUAUUUUCAAACAAAGAAUGACUAGACAGUUUUUUUGACCUGACCCUUAUUUAAAGAGACCCAAAGCUAAAAGAAAGGAGAAUGUGACCGAUCCCUGGUAUCUGAGUUGCCUACAUAUCCUUGGGUAUAAAGGAAUCAAGCCACGUGUAGUUCAAAAGUAAGUGAGAUGAUGGAGUAUACCGAGGUGGAGAGCCGAUCUAGGUGCCGUUCUGUCGAGGUUCUGGUCUGUGGUCCUGUUAUUACAUCAAAAUCAAAAAAUGGAAACGACUAACUAAGCCUGUCAACUAUGAGUUACAAGAUUCCUAUCUAUAAGUCUUUUGAAGCUUGAUCUUGAGUCUUGAAUGGUACUUCAUGCAGACUUUAGAUUUGAACCUUGACGUUUGCUAGCUGCAGGUACUAGUUUAGUCUUCUCCAGAUCGAGACCGGACAUGCCAUGCUCGUGAUUUCAGCCAUGUCUUGAGCAGUUCACAUCUUUCAUCAACUUCUGCAUUUGGAUUCACUUUUUGCCAUUCUCUUUUUUUAUUCUGGAUUGCGACUAACUUCCGUUGAUCAUCUCGGACUGUUGACUCGCAUUCUUGCUGCAAGUUUCUUUUGUUGCUGACUUGAAUUGCAUUCUGAAAUGAAUUCCCUUAUUCUCCAGGUAGCGCCUAAUUGCCAACAUUUAAACUGUCUUCUCUUGUUCUCCAAGCGGGAACUUGAUUACCAAAACUUGAAUUGUCUUCCCUUUGUUACCUUAAACUGUUUUCCCUUGAAACUUGUGUUGUCUUCCUNNNNNNNNNNNNNNNNNNNNNNNNNNNNNNNNNNNNNNNNNNNNNNNNNNNNNNNNNNNNNNNNNNNNNNNNNNNNNNNNNNNNNNNNNNNNNNNNNNNNNNNNNNNNNNNNNNNNNNNNNNNNNNNNNNNNNNNNNNNNNNNNNNNNNNNNNNNNNNNNNNNNNNNNNNNNNNNNNNNNNNNNNNNNNNNNNNNNNNNNNNNNNNNNNNNNNNNNNNNNNNNNNNNNNNNNNNNNNNNNNNNNNNNNNNNNNNNNNNNNNNNNNNNNNNNNNNNNNNNNNNNNNNNNNNNNNNNNNNNNNNNNNNNNNNNNNNNNNNNNNNNNNNNNNNAAACUCGAACUGACUCCUCUGAAAUUUCAACUUUUCCUUUGUUCUCCAGGUGGGUGCCUGAUUUCCAACUCGAACUGACUCCUCUGAAACUGCUGCUUUCCCUUUGUUCUCUAGGUGGGUGGCUGAUUUCCAACACUUGCACUACUUUUCCUUGAGACUUAAGUCGUUUUCUCUUGUUCUCUCCAGGCGGGCUCUUGAUUGCUAGCCUUUGCACUGGUUUUCCCCCGAAACUUGAAAUGUUUCUCUUUGUUCUUCAGGUGGGAUCCUGAUUACCAACACUUGAAUUGCUUUCCCUUCGUUCUCUAGGUGGGUGCCUGAUUUCCAACUCUUGAAUUGCUUUUCCCUUUGUUCUUCAGGUGGACUCCUAAUUACCAACACUUGAAUCGCUCUCCCUUUGUUCUCCAGGUGGGCUCCAGAUUACCAACACUUGAAUUGAUCUCCCUUUGUUCUCCAGGUGGGCUCCUGAUUACCAACACUUGAAUCGCUUUCCCUUUGUUCUCCAGGUAGGCUCCUGAUUACCGACGCUUGAAUUGUUUUUCCCUUUGUUCUCCAAGUGGGCUCCUGAUUUCUUGACCCUAGACUGUUUUCUAUUCUUAAAAUUUGUGUUGUUUUCCCUCGCUCUCCAGGUGGGCCCCUGAUUACAACAUAAUAGACAAAACAAAGAAAAUUUUCUGCCCCAAUUUGGUAGCUGGGCACAUCUGUGAGUGUUAAUUGAAACAUGUCACCCAAUAUCUCUAAGAAUUUGAAAGCUAGAUCUCAUUAUCCAGGAGGGUCCUGAAAACAACAAAUUAAAUAUCAUCUUAAGAGUGAAAACAUUAAAGUUGAAUUAUAUUUCCUAAAGGUAAAAUUCACGCUAAAUCUUGUUAUCUAUGAAGGUCUUACAAUUUAACUUGGUCCCAUUAUCCAGGAGGAUCCUGAAAACUUUCAAAAUUAAAUCCCAUUAUCCAGGAGGGCCCUGAAAUUUUUAAAAUUAAAUCUCAUUAUCCAGGAGGGUCCUGAAAAGCUGAGAAUGAACUUACCUGAGCCAUCUCUCUUCCUAAAGGAUCUCUGCAGAACAAACAAAAUUCCUUGCCCCUGAACCAUGCUUUCCUCAUGGAGGGUUCCUGCAGAUCGAACAAAUUUUCUCUCUCCUUCUCAAACCGCCUUUGUGCCAACAAAAUUUGGGCACGACACUUGAAAAAUUUAAGCUUCCAAGUUUUGACUUGGGCAUAGUCUUCGUCCCUAUUUCAAACAAAGAAAACUUGUGAGUUUAAACAUGGUUGUUGGUUUGUGGCCUUGACUUUGAGGGCAAUUGCUCCUUCACUUUCCAUGAUAACUUUGAUUUCAACUCGAAAGACCUUGCUUAUUUAUUGACUAACCACUUUCUCUGUCACCCUUAUCACGGAAAAUACCUCUGAUCCGUUCAAACCCAAUACCAUUCAUCUGUUGCAUUGUGCUCAUGCAGUGACAUGUACUGAACCUUUGUGUUUUAUAUGAAUCCCAAAGCACGUCAAUUGUAACCCACUCAGUGCGCAUGUUGUUCCUUCCUUAUUCAACCCACUGGCCUUGGCCUUGAUGUCUAUUGCUCCUUCACCUACCAUGAUAACUUUGAUUUCUGCUUGGAAGACCUUGCUUGUCAUUAGUUAACAACUUUCUCUGUCAACCUUGUCGCAGAAACUACCUUUGAUCUGUUCAACCAACAUCCCCUACCUGUUGCAUUGUUCAUAAAUUGACAUAUACCAAACCUUUGUAGUUCACAUGAAUCCCAAAGUGCGUUGAUUGUUACCAACUCAGUGCGCACAUUGUUCUUUCCUAAUUUAUGCCACUUUGAUGUGCUCACUAGAUACCGUUUUGUGCAAUUGGAAGUUGGUGACAAAUUUUGAACUCAUUUCUCACUUGUUCUGACCAAACAGAUGCAGGAAGAGGAAGUAGACAAGACAAAAGGAACAGAGUAAAAGACAAUAGAAAGAGGUGAUUCCUAACAAGAAAACUACAAAGUAGAAACUUAUCAGAUGUGUAUACCAACUCUAAUGACCAUGACAUGCACCUGUGGCCUAAUUUGUCAAGCAACCGUGGUGUUCAACUCUUGUUAUACCCCUAAACUGUGAAACUGGGCUUCAAUGCUCCGAUUAUCCAAUCUGAUUCAUGAUCCUUAUUCGACUUGUAGUGCCCGAAGGGUUUUCACUAUCAAGCCUCUCUCAUUUUUCUCUCUCUCAACUCACCGUCGCCUUACGGUGCCUGUGAAGGUUUUCACUGAUAAGGCUCUCUCAUUUUGAUCUUUUCUUUUUAUUUCCUCUGAUCCUGUAGAUGAAAAGGCAUGAACCAUGGUAAAAACAUCAUAUACCCUUGGUAUGUCUAAACUCAACACUCUCAAAGAUUAUCCGGGAGGUCUUUUUUGGACUGUAAUGCGGCUUUUGGAUAGGGUUAGAAAGGAAGGAUAUCACAAAGGCUCAAACAACUAAAAUAAUAGGGUUAAUUUAUGUACAACUUUUGGAAUCCAUUUUAAAAACUUUGCGCCAAUUCUGAAACAAGGGAAGUUGACUCUUUUUUUUUAGAUGGAAUUUCGAAGAAAGACUGCCCCACUUUUGCCUUCAUGGGAUUAUGAAAUAUUUUAUUUAGUAUGACCGAACUAUAAGGCUUCCUAGGUAUCUUUUGGUGACAAGAAUCAAGUCAAACGUAGUUCACAACUACUUUUUUUGUUACUAUUUUCCUUUUCCCUUUUUUCUUUCUCUUUUUUUUCUUUUUUCUUCUUUUUUUCUUUUUUUCCUUUCUCUUUUAUUUAUCUCCAUUUUUCUCUUUGUUUUUUUUUUGAAUUUUCCUUUUGGAAUGACUUUCUAAAAUAAACCUACGGGGACAUGAAUUGUUUUUCUCUUUUUUCCCAUAUAACUCUAACUUGAUUCCAAAAGAGGGGAGGUCGAAGAAAUCAGUAUAGGCUCAAAAGGGUAUCAAAUGGUAUAAGUAUUUGGGUAGCUGAAAGAAGGCCUCCCAAUCCCUGAAAAUGCCAAAUACAACACAUGCAACUUGAGGAUGAAAAUUGAAAAUCGUGCACAAUAUUUUUUUUGCGGCUUCGACAAUGAUAUCACUGAUAUGCCUUCCACUUUUCUUUAGCGCCUUGUCAAUUACAUAACCCUCGUUGGGUGAUUCCUUUUUCACAAUGGAUAUCCUCCGUCAAUUCGGAGAAAACUUCUUUGGCUUUAUCUUGUAAGUUAGAUGCACUUGAACUCAAAGUUGCUUGCUUCAAAUCGUCCGGGAUGUACUCUCCCUUUACGAAUUCUUGUCGUCCUAUUAACUUUUCAAAUUAUCUGCCCCAGUUUCACAAAAUUCGGGCUUUAAGUGAUCUCAAAAUCCCUUUACUUACUUCCCUCAAAUGUCCCUAUCAUCUUCAAAGUUAUUUUAAUACUUCAUGACUAAACUAACUUUUAAGACCAGACUAGAAUUAUGCUUGCAUGUCAUGUCACUAGAGCCAGCAUAAAAAGAAUUAUAAAAGAAAAAGAGAACUAAACAACAAUGACUAGAAAUAGCAGAAAACAGAAAAUUACAUUAGACAGACGGUGAAAGGGUUUGAAUAAAAAGACAAGCAAAAUAAACUGGGGUACAACCCUGGAACAAAACUAGAUAACACUAAAUGAGUUAUUACAACUGAAGGAACUAGGCAAAAUAAAGGAUAGAAGGGUUUGAGUCACAAUACAAUAUCCGAAUUACCAUCCUAAAAUAACCCGGACAACAGAAAUGACAACAAAAUAAACCACCAAGACUCCCCCGUACUUUCCAAGAGAUGGAGCGUCUUUCCAAUUACCAUGCAUGACAUCUUAGCCACUGGAUUCUACAUCAAUAUUGCCAAUACCAUUAACAACUUCAAUAUCAUUAACUUCAGUCAGCAGGUUCCCAAGAGAAUUCGCAUGCUCCCUGUCACUGUCCUUGAUCACAAUUGCCCCUUCUUGAAUCAUUCUUUCUAUUUCCCUUUUCAAAGCACGACAAUCAUUGAUGCUAUGACCUUGUACAUUAUAGUGGUACAUGUAUCGUAUAGUAGGAUCAGAACCUUUUGCAUAUGGGUCCGGAGUAUAGCCAAGGAGUGGCUUUAUCAGGCCAAAAUGCUUUAACUUUUCAAACAAGCUCGUGUAGGUCUCCCUGAUUGGCGUGUAACUAUUUCUUCGCCUUUGCUUCCCUCCAUGCCCCAGUUUUCUAGGGUUGUUGGAUGCUCGAAAAUGCUAUAAGGGAAAAAGUGCAUUAUGUAGUGUCGGUGCUCGCCAUGAGGAAUGACCCAGUGGUUGGACAGAUGUUCGGACGUUGUUCGAAGGAUAAUACUGGAGUGGAUUAUAUGGAGCUUGGGGAUGUUCAUAGGGUCGGUAUUGAGGCUGAAAGCGUUGAGCAGGAAUGCCCACUGGAUCCCGUCGUUGGCGGGGCACAACAACAUCUUUUGUAUUUCUCUUUCUUCCACCCAGACUUACUGAGAUGUUCUGAAUGUCUUCUAUAGUAUCUUUCAAUGCAGAAUAACUCAUGAUUUUUCCUGACUUGAUUCUUUUCUCUACCAUCUCCCCCAUUUUUACCACAUCAUUGAAAGGUUUACCUAAGGCCGGGAUCAAAUGACUGAAGUAGGUGGGUCGCUGGGCUUGUAGGAAAAGCUCAACCAUUUCUUCUUCACCAACCGUGGGGCUGACCCGAGCAGCUUGUUCCCUCCAUCUAAGCCCAAACUCCCUAAAGCUUUCCUUCGGUUUCUUUUCCACUUUGGAUAGGGAGGAGCGGUCUGGGAUAAUGUCUAGAUUGUAUUGGAAGUGUCGAACAAAAUAUUGAGCCAUGCCAUCCCAUGUAUGCCACUUAUUGACAUCUUGACGUGUAUGCCAUUCCAAGGCUGCCCUAGCCAGGCUCUCACGAUGGAUCUCCACGCCCAUCAUACUAGUUAAACUUUGGCAUUUUAAACCCCGCGGGCAGAUGGACAUCAGGGAAUAUACACAAUUCAUUGUAAGACAUGUUAGUCUGAUUUCGCAUUCCCUACAUGCUCCUUAAGGACUAUUCUAUACCUUUUAGCUUCUUGGAUAUCUCAUCUUGCCCUUCUUUUCCUGUGAACUUUUCAUUUUCAACUUGAGGCUCAUUCCGAGAGCUGUGAUUAUAUGAGUCAGGGACCUUGUGGGCAACCUCUGAGGGGUAGUAUUGGGCAUCAAAGGGGUUGAAUUGGUGUUCACUGUUGGACCUGAGGAGAGGUUGUUGAGAAGUUGUAAUCGUGGAGGUAGUGGAUAGGACAAAAGGGCAAUUUUUGGGAAAGGUAGAUGGAGGACGAGUGAUGGAGCUACUGGGGUGGUUGGGAAAGUUGUGAUAAGCGGGAAAAUCUGGAGAAUAUGGGGAAUCAUCUGCCACUAUGACCGGAGUUUGGGUAAGGGUAACAUCUAGGAAGGUAGGUGGUGGCGGGGGUGGUGCUUUCCUAGUCAUCCAAGCCCGAUACAUGUCCGCCAUGUAUUGUCUUAACAUCCUCAGCUAUUCAACCAACCCAUUGUCCUAUUCAACCAAUUGCUUUUGGGCACUCGUAUCAACCAACUCAGUUCUGUUAUCAUCUGCCAUUUCCUUUCAACUUUAUGUUGUAGAGAAAAGAUACCACUUUAAGAACCACAAACCAACCACCCUUUCUGCUUUAUAACAAAAGGAGCAAAAUGAGCUCAUCACGUUAGCGUUAGGGCAUUUAACAGCUAAAAUAUCACAUGGCGUGCAAUCCACCUAGCAACAAGUAAUGGUUCGAGAAUGACUUCAAGAGUCACAAGGUCACUUGGCAUCAUCCCCAUUUGUUCAAUUAAACCUUCUCUUUUCUUUGCUUUCGUAGCACUUCUUGGCUCGCUCAUUUUCCUUCCCUUUUUUUUCUUCUAAUUAUCACUUUUUCUUUUCUCAUUUCUCACAUCCCAUAAUUUCACCUCUCUUUUUUGUUCUUUUGCUUCAUUUUUAUUUUAAAUAAAAAAAUAAAAAAAAUGAAUCGAUUGAACCCUAUGUAGGUUGUCUACGUAUUAUGUCCCUUAUGAAUCAGACCAAGUGUAGUUCUUGAAAAGUAAUGGAUAAAUUAAACUAAAAAAAAAUAAAAGUCUUUUUGGAUUAUUCAUUUACAACUUUUUUUUUAAUUUUCAAAACAAAAACAAGAAAUAGGAAAAUAAGAAACUCAACUCAACUAUACUACGACAAACUCCGGCACCAACAAAAAGAUCAUUGCUACUAGACAUAACUAUAAAGUACAAGAUAACAUAAAAGAAACAAACUCAAAAUAUAAAAAAUUCCUCCUUAAGCAACUCCUGGAUGCAAUGUUCCUGACCAGAUGGUCUUGGGGUGUUUGUCAUGCCCAAACACCGGUAAGUAGAUUCACACCUGCAUAAGAAACUAAAGCCAAAUAGAGUUAAGGAUUUAGAACACUAUGUGAGACAAUAACACUCCCUGUUGGACACAUGCAAGACAUGAUUGUGCAAAAUAGCUUACUUGGCCAAAAGGCAGCUAGAAGUGCAAACUCAACAAAGGUGACCUAUAAGACAUGGAAAAAUUACUUUUGCAGAAAUAACCGAUUUUGUAGAAAUGGCCAAUGUGGCCAAAAGACGGCUAAGCAUGCAAAUUCAACAGAAUGACCUUAAACAGAGAGAACAUCUUGUUGUGGACUUAGAACUCUAAAGCAUGGGCUAAUUGAACCACUUUUGCAAAAAUAACCCCACAUUGCAAAACGGCCUAUGUGCCCAAAAGCGGCUGGACAAGCAAUUUUGACAAGGACGGACCUCUAAAGUAAAGAGACACCUAAUUAUGGAUUCAAGACUAUUCAGACAAUUAAACAAACCACUUUGCGAAAAUAGCCAUAUUUUGCAGAAUGACCGAUGUGGCCAAAAGUGGGUAGACAUGCAAGAUUUGGCUAAGACCCCGCGAAGCCAAGAACCUAAGACUUACUAAAAAGACCGGACCCUAUGUGGGUUUCCUACAUAUCACGCCCCGAAAUACGAGAAUCAGGUAUGCGUAGUUCGGGCAUAUUGGAUACGGGCGAGAAAUAAAAACAACUAAUCUAGAGAAAAAUAUAUUUUUUGUCGUCUUUUUUUUUUAAAAAAAAUAAUUAAAUAAAAAUGAUGAAACACGUAAACUCUUUUUGUAUUUUCUUUACCCUUUGUUUUGAUUUUUGAUUUUCGAAAAAUGAUGAAAAAGUGUAAAAUCUUUUUGAAUUUUUCAUUUUCAUUUUUUGGUCUUUCUUUAAAAAAAUGUGAAAGAAAAACAUAACCGGGCCAUACUUGCUUCAUUUUUGCACUUCACCCCCUUUUUUUCAUUUAUCCUCAAACCUCAUUGGUCCGCCAAAUAACCUCUUUUACCUUGGAUAAUUGCAACAUGUAGCACAUAAGAUGCAUUAGGAUGGUCUUUUAUUCUUUGGGUACACCUGUCCUAGACGGACCCAACCCCUGUGUUGAGUUCCCAAAGUCAAAUGCACAUGAUGCAAACAAACGUUCCUACUAGGGAUCCGGCAUGAGGAUGAGUAAUUCUAAGUUCAAAACCUGGGUAUGUUGUUCUAGACUUAUGUACCCGAGUGGACAACUCAAACCGAGGGGGGGCUACGUACCGGGAACCAAAAGGCCAUCCGACUUUGUAACUUGUUCGAUCCUCUUCCUAAUUUAAGGUAUGACACUAACAGAAGAGGAGUCACGCCAGCGUGCACAUCCCCGAAGAUGAGAAGAGAAGGGUUUCGUACCAUUUUAUAUACAGUUCAUAUAGUAUCAAAGCGGUAAAAAACAGCAUUUAGCACAUUAUGCGCAAACAUGUAAAAAUCAAAUAAUAAACAAAGCCAAUUAUAACAAUUAUUCUAAUCUCGAAUUAUGAACCCUGAACCAGAGAUUUUAGGUUCUUGUCCCCAGCAGAGUUGCUCAACUGUUAUUAUUGGCUUAUUUAUCUAAUUUUAAAAUAUUUUUGAAACCUAUGCGCAUUUUAUUCCUUUUAAACCGCUUUAAUAAUCCGAUUGUUACAUAUCGCGAAUCAUGUCACGGGAACCAUACCCACAAUCUACAACAUGUUUAAAUUAUUAAAGAUUAAAUAGUGGCCGGGUCACAUAAAUGUACCCCCGGAUUUUAGUAAUUAAGCAUCACAACUACGUCGCGGGAACCGUACCUGUAGCUAUGGCAAUUAUUAACUAAACGCAUGUAAAGCAAACUAUGAGAGUUCAAGGCAGUUUCUACACUAGUUAAGAUAUCGAUGUGAGGGCCAUAGACUAAGUGAUUGUAUGGCACACCUUGAACUAUAUGAACUAACCACUUUAUUAUUAAGAAAGUUUGUUCAAAGUUGCGCGAACGCAUACUCCGAAUUAUUUUUUAGAAUCGUAAUCGUGGCACGUGAACGUGUACACAAUCACGAUUAUUGAAGUAUUGAUUGAAAUUUUAUAAAAAUAGUUAAGCCAACAUUAGGAAAGGAUUCGGCCAAAUGAUAAAACUAGAGCUAGGAACUAACUAAACUUGAUAAAAUAUCUGAUAAAGGAAAACAAAUUUUACAAUACCAAACCUCAUGGCCAGAUUCAGUUACCACCACUUAUCAUUAAAUUUUCAAAUUUAAUUUUCAUGAAAUGUUCUAAACGGUCCAAAUGUGAAAUUCAUGUACUCCAAUUAUAUAUCACUCCCUUUUGUUUAGACUCAUAAUAUCUUUUUUUCUUUCCGAAACUAUAUUAACAAUCUAACAACAACGGCUGCUUCUUACUAAUUAUAGUCAACAAUUUUGCGUAGCCACUCGGGAUUGCUAUUUGUUAUGAUAUUGCUGAUAGAUGAUGGAAGAAGUUAAGAGUAGUCAAUUUAUGGUGUGGGAUAUAGAGGAAGCCCAAAUGUCUUAAUUAUGUUCAAGCCUCCACUACCCGUUUGUGUUAUUUAAUCAACACACAAUUACCAAAACGUGAAAACAUUAGUAAAAAAGGAACUGAAUCGACUGUUUGCUUGUGCGAAAUAUUCUCAAUAACAUAAACUAAAAAAAACAAGACAUAGCACUCACAAAUUAAUCAACCCCAAAUAAAAAGAAAACAGUAAAGCAAACAUGAUAUUGUCCAUGGAUGUAUAAAGCAAAUCUUCACAAAUAAUUAAACACUAACAUUAAGGAGAAAGAACAGAUGAACCUUCAAUGCUCUCUAACGAUUUAUGUUUGGAAAUACAAGUAAAAACCGACGACCGGAGACCUCAACGGAA
rnacentral:lncRNA from 1 species